CACAUUUCAUUGUGAAAACCUUCUAAUUCAUACCUUCAAUUAUUUAAAAGCCUUUAAAAGACCUAUGUAACAAACUUGUAUGUUCUGCACAUGUAUCCCAGAACUUAAAGUAAAAUUUAAGAAAUUAAAAUUAAAUUUUAAAAAACAUUUCAAGGUUAAAAAAUAUAUAUGAGCUCCUGUUACUGUUAACGUAUAUUGGGUUUAAUAUUCUUUUAUACAGAAUUAUGAUGCUUUCUGUUUUGCGUAACACCAAAACACCAGUGAAAUUCUGGUUGCUAAAAAAUUAUCUCUCACCGACAUUUAAAGAAGUAAUUCCUCACAUGGCUAAAGAGUAUGGAUUCCGAUAUGAACUAGUUCAAUAUAGGUGGCCCCGUUGGCUUCGUCAACAGACUGAAAGACAGAGGAUUAUUUGGGGUUACAAAAUUCUUUUCCUUGAUGUUCUUUUCCCACUAGCAGUGGACAAAAUCAUUUUUGUUGAUGCUGACCAGAUUGUGAGAUAUGAUCUAAAAGAA
rnacentral:sRNA from 1 species